rnacentral:tRNA from 1 species
GGCAUUGUGGCUCAGUGGUAGAGCACUUGCCUCGCAUGUGUGAGGUACUGGGUUCAAUCCUCAGCACCA